CCUACGGUGGGCUGCAGUGGGGGAUAUUGCACAAUGGGGGGAACCCUGAUGCAGCGACGCCGCGUGGGUGAAGAAGCGCCUCGGCGCGUAAAGCCCUGUCAGCAGGGAAGAAAAUGACGGUACCUGAAGCAGAAGCCCCGGCUAACUACGUGCCAGCAGCCGCGGUAAUACGUAGGGGGCAAGCGUUAUCCGGAUUUACUGGGUGUAAGGGGGGCGCAGACGGCGAUGCAAGCCAGGAGUGAAAGCCCGGGGCCCAACCCCGGGACUGCUCUUGGAACUGCGUGGCUGGAGUGCAGGAGGGGCAGGCGGAAUUCCUGGUGUAGCGGUGAAAUGCGUAGAUAUCAGGAGGAACACCGGUGGCGAAGGCGGCCUGCUGGACUGCAACUGACGUUGAGGCCCGAAAGCGUGGGGAGCAAACAGGAUUAGAUACCCCUGUAGUC
rnacentral:rRNA from 1 species